GUCAGGAUGGCCGAGCGGUCUAAGGCGCUACGUUUAGGCCGUAGUCUACUCUGUAGGCGUGGGUUCGAAUCCCACUCCUGACA
rnacentral:tRNA from 1 species